GACGAACGCUGGCGGCGUGCCUAAUACAUGCAAGUAGGACGCAGUUGCGAACGGGUGAGUAACGCGUAGGUAACUACCUAUUAGAGGGGGAUAACUAUUGGAAACUAUAGCUAAUACCGCAUAAUAGUAGAUGGACCUGCGUUGUAUUAGCUCGGCGGUAGGGUAAUGGCCUACCUAGGCAACGAUACAUAGCCGACCGUAGAGGGUUGGCGGCCAAACUGGGACUGGGGCAAGGCCAAGAAUCCUACGGGAGGGAGCAGUAGGGAAGCUUCGGAAAUGGGGGGAACCCUGAACGAGGAACGUCGGGGGAGUGAAGAAGGUUUUCGGAUCGUAAAGCUCUGUUGUUAAGGAAGCGGUACUUAACCAGAAAGGGACGGCUAACUACGUGCCAGCAGCCGCGGUAAUAC
rnacentral:rRNA from 1 species